AGUGAACGCUGGCGGUAGGCCUAACACAUGCAAGUCGAACGGCAGCACAGUAAGAGCUUGCUCUUACGGGUGGCGAGUGGCGGACGGGUGAGGAAUACAGCGGAAUCUACUUUUUCGUGGGGGAUAACGUAGGGAAACUUACGCUAAUACCGCAUACGACCUACGGGUGAAAGCAGGGGAUCUUCGGACCUUGCGCGAUUGAAUGAGCCGAUGUCGGAUUAGCUAGUUGGCGGGGUAAAGGCCCACCAAGGCGACGAUCCGUAGCUGGUCUGAGAGGAUGAUCAGCCACACUGGAACUGAGACACGGUCCAGACUCCUACGGGAGGCAGCAGUGGGGAAUAUUGGACAAUGGGCGCAAGCCUGAUCCAGCUAUACCGCGUGGGUGAAGAAGGCCUUCGGGUUGUAAAGCCCUUUUGUUGGGAAAGAAAAGCAGCAGGUUAAUACCCCGCUGUUCUGACGGUACCCAAAGAAUAAGCACCGGCUAACUUCGUG
rnacentral:rRNA from 1 species